AGGGGUGGCGAAAAAAAAAUAAAGGAAAAGGAUAGGGAAGGCUCUCGACGGCAAGCAAGAAAGGAGAGGGGGAGGUCUUAGUGGCAAGCAAGAAGGGGAGAGGAGGCUUCAACCUUGGAGGUGAAGAAACUGAUGAUGUUGGAGGCUCGGAACCUUUGCCAAACUAGACUAGACAGUACACUCUUAUGGACCUUGCGAUCCAACAAAAAAAAUAAAUAAACAGUAUUUAUGAUUUAGAGAGAUUAAAAUUAUAUUGAAUUCAUACUUUCAGGAUGUUUAACUGGUUUAGAAACUUUCCUUCCUUUUUGAAAUUCGUAAUGGGUUUGAAUGCAGGGGUGUGGUUCAUUGAGUGCGGUCAAUUAUUUCAUUAGAAUGAUAGAUGGUGCAUGGAAUAUAUAAAAAAAAAAACUUAUGAUCAUUUCAAUUGAUAUCAGAGCGAAGAUUUUGUGAGGGAGGUGUACUUCCAGUUCCGAGGAAUCUAAGAGCUGAGCCCCAAGUUUGUGAGUUAUUACCGCUUGAAUUGUACAUGCUGAAUUUAAAUGCUUUUAUGAUAUAAAAGUUGAACGGUUAGAUGUUUCAAAUAAGUGCAAGAUGGUUAUGAAUGAGAUUGGAUGAUAUAUAUAGGUAUGUCUCCAAGACAGGUCUAUCAAAGGCAUAGGAAAGAUGACCGAGAUAGAGGAGAACAUGAGGAGAAGAGACAUGCUACGCCCGACCACCCACCUCUACCUCUAGAUACUGUUACCCGAAUACUAGAAGGAAUGACUCAACUCUUUGAGUAGCAUAUUGGUAAUGCCCAUAGGGGAUGACAGGAGGAUGUGUAUGUGCAGUUCAGGAGGAUGGACCUUAAGGAUUUUGCUAGUACUACUGAUCCCUUUGUUACUGAGGGGUGGAUCCGAUCCUUGGAGGUGAUUUUCCAAUACAUGAAUAUGGCUGGCACUGACAGGGUUCGAUGUGCCAUAUAUCUGCUAAAGGAUGAUGAUUCUUUAUGGUGGGAGGGAGCUGGAAGAGGGGUUGAUCAGAAUACCCUGACCUAAGAGGAGUUCAAGAGGAUUUUAUAUGAAAAAUACUUCACUGUUGAUGUGAGAUUAAGGCUGACGAGGGAGUUUAUGAGUCUCUGAUAGAGAGACCUGUCUAUUGCUGAGUUUGUCAAGAAGCUUAAUAGAGGAUGUCAUUUUGUGCCCCUAAUCACAAAUAAUUCUAUUGAAAAGUUGAGGCUCUUUUUGGAUGGUCUCAAGCUUACCAUCCGCCGGGAUGUCCUGCUGGUCGAUCCGAUGGAGUAUAAUGACAUUGUCACUAAAGCCUACAGAGUUAAGCAGUCCUUGGAAGAUAUCAAGUGGGAGGUGCAAAGAAAGAGGCCCCCCACAACAACAACAAUAAUAGCAUAAUAAGAAAUUAUAUACAAGAUCACAGAAAGGACAGGGACAACCGAAGCCUCAGGGGAAACUUAAGCAACAACCAUAGGGAGUGGUUGCCCAAACAAUAGAGGAGAAGCCGUUGUGCCAAGAGUGCAAUCGCCGGCACUAUAGCAAGUGUCUGUGGGGUACCUACAAGUGCUUUAAAUACAGAGGAGAUAGGCACAAAGCUAAAGAAUGUCCAAAGUUGCGAGAACCUAUGACCGGACGAGCAUUUAUAAUGCAUGCCAAGAAAGCAGAGCCAAACACUACGCUUAUUAUAGAUAAUUCAACUAAUUUGACGUACUUAUUACCUAUUGCAUAAAAUGUUAAGCAGGGGGGGCGGCGGAAUUAGUUGAGGUAAUCUGAACCUGGUGACUUAGGAUUGCAUGUCUCGAAUUCUUACAUGAUUUAAGAUGGGAUCACGAAUAAGAAGAUUAUGGACGUGAAAUAUAGGGUUCCAAACAUAAUAAGGAUUAGAAUUUGAUCAAUUCGAAACUUUAAGGGACUUAAUGGGCAAUUUUUAAAAAAUUUUAGGCUUAAAUGGAUGUGAUGGUAUGUUGUCUCAGGUAGAAUAUCUAUCACGGGUAUAGUUUUCUAUGCUUUGUUAGAUUCGGGAGCUACACACUCAUUUAUAUCUGAGACCUUCAUAAAGCGACUGGGAAUCUUAUCGAAAGACGUGGGGAUUGGGUUUAGAGUCACCAGACCUUCUAGCAAGUAGAUGUUAUCUACCUGGAUGACAAAGGACAUGAAGCUUAGACUGCAGGAGCAUGUGAUUCGGCUAGAUCUUAUUGUGUUACCAAUGCUUAAGUUCGACAUUAUUCUGGGAAUGAAUUAGUUAUCGCAGAAUGGAGCUUCGAUCAACUUCUGGGGAAGGUCGAUAUCCGUCCGACCACUCCGCGGAGAGUUGCUUAUUUUUGAGGCAGCCAGGAACAAGCAGAAGUCGCACCUCAUUUCUUGCAUUAGUGCGAGGAAGCUUAUGACGAGGGGCUGCCAAGGAUUUCUAGUCAAUGUUGUUUUGAUACCUGAUACAAUCGGCUAGAAGGUGAAGGAUGUCGAAGUUGUCCGAGAAUUUCCUAGUGUAUUUCUUGAGGAUGUCUCUGGCAUUCCUCCGGAAAGGGAGGUGGAAUUGUCCAUUGAGAUGAUACCAUAUACGGUGCCAAUCUCUAAGGCAUUGUAUCAUCUCACACCAACAGAAAUGAAAGAACUAAAAGAUCAUAUUCAAGAGCUACUGGAUAAAGGAUUAAUUCACCCAAGCUUUUCAUAAUGUGGUGCACCAAUAUUAUUCGUGAAAAAAAAGGUUGGAAGCAUGAGACUCUAUAUCGAUUAUCAAGAGUUGAAUAGAGUGACAGUGAAGAAUAAGUAUCCUUUGUCAAGAAUCAAAGAUUUAUUUGAUCAGUUGCAAGGAGCAUCGGUAUUUUCAAAGAUAGAUCUUUGAUCAAGAUACCAUCAACUGAGGGUAAGAGAAGUGGAUGUGCAUAAGACGACUUUUAGGACUCGAUAUGGACAUUAUAAGUUUAUGGUGAUGUCAUUCGGAGUGACAAAUGCCCCAGCGAUCUUUAUAGACCUCAUAAAUCACGUAUUUCAGCCGCAUCUCGAUCAGUUGAUUAUCAUAUUCAUAGAUGACAUUUUGAUCUAUUCAAGAAGUAGGGAGGAGCAUAGUCAACACUUGAGGACCACUUUAUAGAUACUACAAGACCGAAAAUUAUUUGCAAAGUUCAGCAAAUGUGAGUUCUGGUUAGAGAAUGUGGCAUUCCUGGGCCACAUUAUUUCGAAGGAUGAGGUAGAAGUAAAUCCUACUAAAGUCGAGGCAAUCAUAGGAUGGUUAGUGCCUAAAAAUGCAACCGAGAUACACAGUUUCUUGGGUUUAGUGGGCUACUGCCGAAAAUUCAUCAAGAGUUUUUUUUCCAUUGCAAUGUCCUUAACAGCUCUAACAAAGAAGAAUGCCAAGCUUGCAUGGGGAGUUGAUUACCAAGACAGUUUUGAGUAGUUGAAGCAAGCACUUACCACCGCGCUAGUUUUAGCUCACUACAAAAAAAUUGGACAUUAGGACCGCAAUAUUAGCAGCGAUUGAUAAAGCGCUUGUAAAAGCAGACCCAAUAGAAUCGGUCAAGAUUAACCGCUCUUCAAACCGCUUCAGUUGAGUUUUUUUGAAGCGGUUGGUAAACUGUUGCUAUUUGAUGCAUAUAGAACCGGUUAUUAGAACCGUUCUUAUAAGUUUCUUUUAGGAGCGGUUCGAAACCACUUCUAAAGGAUACUUACGACCGCUUCUAAAGGGUACGUACGAGAUUAAUAAAAAAACAUGCUCGCAUCUCAUAUUAUUUUCACAAUUCCAGCAAACCUUUUUAUUUCGGCGACACUCUUUGUUCCAGCGACCUUCUCUUUUCUAUCGACCAUCUAUGUUCCAGUGAUCCUCUCUAUUCUAGCGACACAUCAGAUUAAUUGCACCCUAGCAUCAUUCUUCGACAUCAACAUCAUAAAUCGUCUUUGAUUUUUGUUUCUCGAGGUAAUUUCUUGGUUUAGGUUUCGUACGGUGACAAUGUUUUUAUAUGUUAAUGGUGAUAAAAAUUAUAAUCGAUGAUGUUUUUAUUUGUAUUGGCCGAUAGAUUUGUAAAUAUUUUCAAUGAAUCCCUUAAUUUAAUUUGUCUUUUUUUGCAAGUUAUCUGUAUUAUCUUUCAAGUUUAUUAUUGUAGUUUGCUUACAGCGUGUCCAUGAUGCUAAGCUUCAUUUUUUAUAUUUAGGAAUUGUAUUUAUAUAUAUGUUUAUUGAGUUCUUUGAAAUUUUAUCUACGAAGUUUCUUUAAUUUUGAUAAAUCUUGCUUCAAUGUGUUAACUUUUAUAAAUUAUUGAACAACAUCAAAUUAUGCAGAAGCAAUGGAUGGUUGCGCCACAUGGCAGUCUUGAGUAUCGGGUGGGAAUCCUAUAUUUUUUACGUUAUGCAUUUGGUGAUGCGGCUCCAGAUGUCAUGAGACCAUGUCCUUGUUGCAAAUGCAUAAACUCAUUGAGUCAUGAUCGUGAGACAGUACACGAACAUCUGAUGAUAAUUGGUAUCUUACAAGAUUAUCGCAUCUGGAAUUUUCAUGGAGAAAAACUAAUUGUACAAGAUCAUGAUAACAAAGAACUACAUGAUUCGAGGCAACAAGUUUCUGAAGUAAUUAGUCAUGAAUCCAUGAUACAAGAAAUGUUGCAUGAUGCAUUUGGAAUGCAUGAAGAAUCUACAAGUAAUGAAAAUUACAUUGGAGCAUCAACGAGUCAUACACCGAUGAAUUCUAAUGUGAAAGAUUUCUAUCAACUAAUAGAGGAAGGGAAACAACAGCUAUAUACCGGGUGCACAGAGUUUUCUAAACUGUCGUUCCUUGUUGAGUUAUUUCAAUUGAAAGUGAAUGGAAAAUGGAGUGAUAAGUCAUUUACAGCAUUAUUGGACUUCCUUCGUUGAGUACUUUCAUCUGAAGCUCAAGUGCCUAAGUCAUUUUAUGAAGCAAAGAAAUUAAUUUCUAGUUUAGGACUUCAUUAUGAAAAAAUACACGCUUGUCCAAAUGAUUGCAUGAUUUAUUAGGGGGAAAGUGAGAAUGAACAGGUUUGCAAAGUGUGUAACCUUCCAAGAUGGAAAAAUUUACAGAAAUCAUCAAGAAGAUCAUAUAAAGGUGGAGAAAAACGUCUCGAGGUUAAAAUUCCAGCCAAAGUCUUUUGGUAUUUUCCGUUAAAACCAAGAUUGCAACGGUUAUUCAUGUCAUCCAAGACGUCUGAAAAUAUGCAGCGACAUUUCAAAAAACGUGUUUCGGAUGGAAAUCUAAGGCAUCCAGCUGAUUCUCAUGCAUGGAAGGAAUUUGAUGAUCAUCAUUAUGAAUUUGCAUCUGAUCCUAGAAACGUACGCUUGGAACUCGCUGCUGAUGGGUUUAAUCCAUUUAAAAAUCAAAGCACUUCACAUAGUACUUGGCUUAUUGUCCUGAUGCCUUACAAUUUGUCACCUUGGGAAUGCAUGAAGCCUUAUUCUAUUAUUUUAUCCACCCUUAUUCCAGGUCCAAAAGCACCUGGAAAUGAUAUCGAUAUAUAUUUGUGCCCCUUAUUGACUGAAUUGAAAGAUUUAUGGGAAAAUGGGAUUGCCACAUUUGAUGCUUAUGACAAAAAAAUGUUUCAACUGCGGGCUGCAUUACUUUGGACAGUCUAUGAUUUUCCUGGUUUAGGUUGUUUGUCUGGAUGGAAUACAUAUGCCAAGAAUGCAUGCCCAACUUGUGCUGAUAAUACAGAUGCAGUGUACCUAAACAUGACAAAAAGUGGUCAUUCAGAGGGCAUCGUCGUUUUCUACCACCGAUUCAGAACUGCGAACAAUGUCAAGUUAUGGCAAACCAGAGCAACGUGAGUUGGAUUUGGCGCCAUUGUCGGGAUCUGACGUUCUACGAAUGAUCUUAAAUAAGAAUGUGAUUUUUGGUAAGAGUAAUGCAUCAAAACCAAAUGUGAGAAUAAAAACAGGAUCAAUUGAACAAAUGUGGAGAAAACAAGCAUAUUUUUUAGCCUUCCAUACUGGGAAUUUAAUUUGAUUCGACAUAAUUUGGACCCUAUGCAUAUUGAAAAAAAUGUUUGCGAUAACAUUGUUGGAACACUUUUAGAUGAUUCCAACAAGAGCAAAGAUAAUUAUGCAGCACGUAGAGAUUUAAAGAAUUUGGGUAUUAUGAAACAAUUAUAGCCCCGGGCACAAUCAGAUGGUAGAGAGUAUUUGCCACUUGCAUGUUACUCUAUGUCUAAAGAUGAAAAAAAUAUUUUGUUCUGUAUUGAAAGAUAUUCGUGUUCCUGAUGGUAUGUCAUCUGAUAUCUCAAAGUGUGUGGAUGUUGGACGUUGUAGGAUUAUGGGCUUGAAAAGCCAUGAUUGCCAUAUUAUGAUGGAACAAUUCCUUCCAAUUGCUCUUCGUCGUGUGUUGUCAAAAAAGGUAACUGCUCCACUUAUUAUUUUGUGUGAAUAUUUUAGAACAGUGUGUGCAAAGAUGCUACAAGAAGAAGAAUUACAGAAGGCUGAAGAAGGAGUUAUUUUGGUUUUAUGUCAAUUAGAGAGAAUAUUUCCAUCAUCUUUUUUCACAAUAAUGGUUCAUUUGGUGGUGCAUUUAGCGUAUGAAGCAAGAAUUGCUAGGCCUGUACAUUAUCGGUGGAUGUACCCAAUAGAAAGAUAUCUGGGGAAACUUAAAAAUUUUGUUAGAAAUAAAGCACGACCAGAGGCCAACAUUGCAAAGGCAUAUUUAGCAGAUGAAUGUGUUGUGUUUUGUUCUCGUUAUGUAGAUGGUAACAACUCAUUAAACAAUCUUGGAACACGACAUAAAGAGACAUCAAAUGAUGAGUUUCCCACACUACCGAUGUUUCCACAUGUAGGGCAACCAACAAAAGGGCUUCAAGUAGUUACCUUAGAUGACAAAACUCUAAGUCAAGCUCAUAGAUAUAUUCUCUCUAAUUGUACAGUGUUGCAACCAUAUCGUGAGUAAGUAUUACUAUUUUUUUUAAUUUUUUGCAUAAUGUUUUAUUGUUUUAUGAUCAAUUAUUUUUUCUAAUUAUAUAUUAAUGUUGAUAUUGAACAGUGAAAUAAAAAAUGAACUGAAGAGAAGACAUAGAUAAGGCCAACGCCCAAGUAAUUCUCAGUUGGAUGACAUGGUUAGAAUGUAAUUUCCAGAAUGAUUUGCAAGAUGAGUUGAUCGAGUAAAUGAAAGAAUCGAUGACUUAGAUCUUAGGGUGCUUUCGCGUGGUCCAAAUCCAAUAGCAUUUAGUUAUCAUGGGUUCAACAUAAAUGGGUUUGCAUUUCACAUGGUGGAAUCUGAAAAAAAUAAAAAGGUGCAGAAUAGCGGAAUUAUGGUACAGGCGAUGCAUAAUAAUGAUGAUCAUGAGUCAAUCUAUUAUGGUUGACUAACUGAUAUCAUCUCACUUGAUUAUGGUGGUCGUGGACAAAUUGUUCUUUUUUGAUGUGAUUGGGUUAACACUGCUACAGGUUUCAAAAUUGAUCCAUUUGGAUUUUCAAUGCUAAAUUUUUCAUGCUUGAUACAUAUAGGAGAACGUGAGGAACAUGAACCUUUUAUUUUGGUUACCCAAGCUCAAAUGGUUUAUUAUGUUCGUGAUCCAAAGGAGGAGGAUUGGCAUUGUGCCAUUCGUCACACACCAAGAGAUACAUACAACAUGGCCAAUGAAGAUGAUAUGGAUAUGAUGCAUUUUAUUCAUAAUAAUUUUUCUAAUAUGGAAUCAAUAUUGGGUGAUGUAAAUAGAGUAGAUGUUGAAUUAAUUAGAACUGAUGUAGAGGGCUCAAUAGUUGAUGUUCUUCCAGUUGUGAACAAUGAAACAGAUGAUGAAAGCUUUAGCUGAUUUUUGUAUUGU